rnacentral:rRNA from 1 species
CCUACGGGUGGCAGCAGUGAGGAAUAUUGGUCAAUGGGCGAGAGCCUGAACCAGCCAAGUCGCGUGAAGGAUGACGGCCUUACGGGUUGUAAACUUCUUUUGUCAGGGAGCAAUUGAGUCCACGUGUGGUCUUAGCGAGAGUACCUGAAGAAAAAGCAUCGGCUAACUCCGUGCCAGCAGGCGCGGUAAUAAGGAGGAUGCGAGCUUUAUCCGGAUUUAUUGGGUUUAAAGGGUGCGUAGGCGGAAUAUCAAGUCAGCGGUAAAAAUUCGGGGCUCAACCCCGUCGUGCCGUUGAAACUGUUGUGCUUGAGUGGGCGAGAGGUAUGCGGAAUGCGUGGUGUAGCGGUGAAAUGCAUAGAUAUCACGAAGAACUCCGAGUGCGAAGGCAGCAUACCGGCGCCCAACUGACGCUGAAGCACGAAAGCGUGGGUAUCGAACAGGAUUAGAUACCCCGGUAGUC